rnacentral:rRNA from 1 species
GAGUUUGAUCCUGGCUCAGGAUGAACGCUGGCGGCGUGCUUAACACAUGCAAGUCGAACGGGAAUUACUUUAUUGAAACUUCGGUCGAUUUAAUUUAAUUCUAGUGGCGGACGGGUGAGUAACGCGUGGGUAACCUGCCUUAUACAGGGGGAUAACAGUCAGAAAUGGCUGCUAAUACCGCAUAAGCGCACAGGACCGCAUGGUCCGGUGUGAAAAACUCCGGUGGUAUAAGAUGGACCCGCGUUGGAUUAGCUAGUUGGUGAGGUAACGGCCCACCAAGGCGACGAUCCAUAGCCGGCCUGAGAGGGUGAACGGCCACAUUGGGACUGAGACACGGCCCAGACUCCUACGGGAGGCAGCAGUGAGGGAUAUUGGGCAAUGGGGGAAACCCUGACCCAGCAACGCCGCGUGAGGGAUGACGGUUUUCGGAUUGUAAACCUCUGUCCUCUGUGAAGAUAGUGACGGUAGCAGAGGAGGAAGCUCCGGCUAACUACGUGCCAGCCGCCGCGGUAAUAC